GUAACGGCGAGUGAAGCGGUAACAGCUCAAAUUUGAAAUCUGGCUCUUUUAGGGUCCGAGUUGUAAUUUGUAGAAGAUGCUUCGGGUGUAGCUCCGGUCUAAGUUCCUUGGAACAGGACGUCAUAGAGGGUGAGAAUCCCGUAUGUGACUGGUGGCUUUCGCCCAUGUGAAGCUCUUUCGACGAGUCGAGUUGUUUGGGAAUGCAGCUCUAAAUGGGUGGUAAAUUUCAUCUAAAGCUAAAUAUUGGCCAGAGACCGAUAGCGCACAAGUAGAGUGAUCGAAAGAUGAAAAGCACUUUGGAAAGAGAGUUAAACAGUACGUGAAAUUGUUGAAAGGGAAGCGCUUGCAACCAGACUUGCACCCCGUCGAUCAUCCCCCGUUCUCGGAGGUGCACUCGGCGGGGUUCAGGCCAGCAUCGGUUUCGGUGGUGGGAUAAAGGCCUUGGGAACGUAGCUCCUCUCGGGGAGUGUUAUAGCCCUCGGUGCAAUGCCGCCUACCGGGACCGAGGACCGCGCUUCGGCUAGGAUGCUGGCGUAAUGGUUG
rnacentral:rRNA from 1 species